rnacentral:antisense_RNA from 1 species
UUUUGAAUUGCAUUUCUCUGGUGAUGAGUGCAGUUCAGCACCUUUUCAGAUUCCUGUUGGCCAUUUGUGGAGUCUCACUCUGUAGCCCAAGCUGGAGUGGUGUGAUCUCGACUCACUGCAACCUCCGCCUCCUGGGCUCAAGUGAUUCUCGUGCCUCAGCCUCCUGAGUAGCUGGGACUACAGGUCACAGAAUUUUCCACACUCCUUGACGGAGGUGCUUAACCCUUAUCCAUCAGCAUUCUCAGACAGCACCUCCGGUUAGGGACAGUAUCUGACCGUCCGACAUCCCUGCAGCCCCCAUGUGUCACACAGACUCAGCCUCAGGUAGAUGGUUUCCGUAGAUGGUGGCUUUCUUUGGACCCUUGACAUCAACCAGUUACUAUUUGACUCUUCUGCAGAACCCCCUGUUGACCCCUGCUUUGAGGUGGCAGAGUUAACACUACUCUUCGUUAUAAGCUCUCGUCUGGGGCAACUCAGAAGAACCUCAGCAAGGCCCACAUUUUCCCGGUGAAGCCACAGAACCACAGGGAGAAACCCAUGGACUUCGCCUCUCUCUCUAGGGGACCAGAUGUGCAGAGGUAAUGAAUACCAGGGAAUCAGGAAACCACUGGAUCAGUUCUUUGAGCCACAGAACAACACUCAUCCCAGCAGCUGGGAAGCUAUCUGCAAAAGUCCAUCUGCAGAAAGGGCUUCCUGGUCUUGCGUGUGGCUGGGCCAUUUCUCUGGAUGCAGGUUUUUCAUUAUACAGUCUUCUCAAAGAAACACCUGCUCUCAACACCUUCUCGGUGACUCCAUUUCCCCUCCUCU